rnacentral:rRNA from 1 species
AACGAACGCUGGCGGCAUGCCUAACACAUGCAAGUCGAACGAAGGCUUCGGCCUUAGUGGCGCACGGGUGCGUAACGCGUGGGAAUCUGCCCUUUGGUUCGGAAUAACAGCUGGAAACGGCUGCUAAUACCGGAUGAUGACGAAAGUCCAAAGAUUUAUCGCCAGAGGAUGAGCCCGCGUUGGAUUCGGUAGUUGGUAGGGUAAAGGCCUACCAAGCCGACGAUCCAUAGCUGGUCUGAGAGGAAGAUCAGCCACACUGGGACGGGGAAACGGCCCGGACUCCUACGGGAGGGAGGAGUGGGGGAUGGUGGAACAUGGGGGCAAGGCUGAUCGAGCAAUGCCGGGUGAGUGAUGAAGGCCGUAGGGUUGUAAAGCUCUUUUACCCGGGAAGAUAAUGACUGUACCGGGAGAAAAAGCCCCGGCUAACUCCGUG